GCCCUGGUAGCUCAGUGGUAGAGCAUUGGACUUUUAAUCCAAGGGCCGCGGGUUCGAAUCCCGUCUGGGGUG
rfam:Hepatospora eriocheir strain GB1 NODE_659, whole genome shotgun sequence.